CAUGAUUUUAUGACCAAUGCUUUAGCAAGUUCACUUUAGAUGCAGUGCAUAAAAUGCACUGAGAGUGGGUAGGAGUGGAAACGUCUAUUUUACCUAUUCAUAUUGUUAAUGUGGUCACACAGUUUCGAUAUACCUCCAAAGCAAUGACAAUAACUCAUUUAGCAAAGACUUACCUAAUAGAAAAGACAGAAAAGGGGAGAUUUUAAUUAGGAAGUUAUUACAAAAAUCCAGUUAUAGAUGAGAAUAGUUUGGACCAAAUGGAGAGAAUUAAGCAGAUUUGUGGUGUGUUUUGGAAACAUAAUGAAUAGAAGUUUAGUGGUGGGUUGGCUGUGGAGUAUAAUUAAAGAGCCCUCAGAAUUAUUAGCAAUCUUAUAUCUGUUGCAACUAUGUUAAAGAUGUGAAAGUAUUUUUCCUAGAUGGGGAAGACUAGCAAAAAAAGCAAUGGGAGAGGAGAACCACAACUUUCAUCUUGGACACGGAAGCUGUUUGAAGGACAAACAAGUAAAGCUACACAGAUAUCCCAGAAGAAUGUGGGAACCUGGAGAGAGGACCAUCCAUUCACUUGCCUGCUGUGAGUUCCACUUGUGGACUCUCUAGGGAAGGAAUAACAUCAGAAGAGAAUGAUGAAUUGGAAGAGCCAGACAGGGUUCCUGCAUUGCAAGCUCCAAAUUAACUGUACAGUGAACAGAUUUGCAAAGGAAAAACAACACACAUGGGAAAAGGGCCUUCUGUUUAUUUUUUCUUCUUAUUAAUUUACCACAACCACCGUCAAGUGUCCCAGUUUCUGUCUGGGAAGAGAGGCUGGCAGGGCCAGUAAUCAAAGAGCAGCUGGAAAACCCCAAGAAAUUAUGGAACCCUCAUAAAAGAAUCAAAGGACAAUGUUUUUCAAACCACUUGAAAAACUGAAGAGUCCAUUCUGGUCAUGUUAUUGUGUUUUUCGUGAUGUGUUAACAACUGUAAUAAAGGACAUUGCCGAUUGUG